UACAGAGGGUGCGAGCGUUAAUCGGAUUUACUGGGCGUAAAGCGUGCGUAGGCGGUUUGAUAAGUCGGUUGUGAAAGCCCCGGGCUCAACCUGGGAAUUGCGGCCGAUACUGUCAGACUAGAAAACGGUAGAGGGAGGUGGAACUCCAGGUGUAGCGGUGAAAUGCGUAGAUAUCUGGAAGAACACCGAUGGCGAAGGCAGCCUCCUGGGCCUGUUUUGACGCUGAGGCACGAAAGCGUGGGUAGCAAACAGG
rnacentral:rRNA from 1 species